GUCAGACAAGCCUACAAGUUGCCUCUGAUGGUUAGUUUCUUCACCUGAAAAAUAGAGGUGGCCUCUCAACCUCAGGAAAAGGAGCCCAACCAACGGUUCCCAGAGAGUGUGAACUUAGUGCAUGAAGCUAGCGCGUCCAGGGCUCCAGCAGGCGGACUGUCGUGGAUGCUGUGGUGAGCUGCCAAGAUCCUGCUUCAGGACAGGGGCUCUCGACUUCUCAGACUCGUGGAGUGUUGGCUAUGUCAUUCUGUUCUGGACAUUACCCUCAGCCUCAGGAAGCUUCUUUGGCCAAGCUUAAACACCCUCAACCUGUGGACCACUUUCUGUCAGAGGCGGCUGCGACCGGCGCACUAGGCACGGCGGAGAGGAGCUACCCCAUGUCCGAGGUCAGGGGCAGAAGCCGGGAGGACCCCACGCGCAAAGGGCAGCGGCCAAGAGGAGUUACCCCACGUCCGAGGUUGGGGGCAGCGGCCGAGAGUGCCAGGCUGCGACGGUGCAGGAACAGCUGAGAGGAGCCACCCUGCGUCCGAGGCCAGGGGCGACAGCCGGGAGGAGUGACCCCAGGUCCAAGGAGCGGUGGCUGCACGGGCCAGGAGGGCCUAGAGGAGCC
ensembl:lncRNA